GACGGAGGGUGCAAGCGUUGUUCGGAAUUAUUGGGCGUAAAGCGCGCGCAGGUGGUUUCUUAAGUCUGAUGUGAAAGCCCACGGCUCAACCGUGGAGGGUCAUUGGAAACUGGGGAACUUGAGUGCAGGAGAGAAGAGUGGAAUUCCACGUGUAGCGGUGAAAUGCGUAGAGAUGUGGAGGAACACCAGUGGCGAAGGCAGCUCUCUGGGACGGUACUGACGCUGAGACGCGAAAGCGUGGGGAGCGAACAGG
rnacentral:rRNA from 1 species